UCAAGUUUUCAAUAAUAUUAUCUAAUUAAUAUAGAUCUCUGUUAGUAAUUUAAUAUACUUAAACUUUUUGACGUUAGAUGUAUAAAAAAAUGUAUGUGUAUUUAGUAUUUAGGAGUGUGUAAAUAAAAUUUCUCUUUUAUUUUUUUGCAAAAAAAAAAAACCCGAUGGGGCCGUCUUCACGCCUCUAUUGAUGAAUCCAGAUAAUUAAUAUAUGGGGAAAUAAGUCCUUUUAAUAUUUAUGUUGUUUCGAAAAAUAAGAUAAUUCAUUAAUUAACUUAAGAGAAUACAAGCCUUCAUUUGAUCUAGCGACAUAGUCUCUCUUCACAAGUGGGAGGUCGUGAGUCCGCCUCACAAAAGACUUAUUGUAACAGUUAAGUUAUUUAAACUUAUUAGAAAAAAAAAAAAAAAAACUUAAGAGAAUACAAGUGGUCGUAAAAUCCUAUUUGUAAUACCCUGAAAAUUUAAUAUUAGUUUCUAGUAUUAUUUAGAAAUUUUUGUGUUAUGAGGUUCAAAAGAAGAGCGGAAUUGUUCGACUGCAUAAAUUACCCGAAACGGUUUUAUGGUUUUGAAGGGUCAAGAGUUGACUUUCUAAUCUGUUGGGUUUCUCGAUAAACUUCCUUCACGAAAGUUGUAGAGUUUGGUGAAAUAGUUCGUAGACACGCGACACGCGUAAAACGGAUGUCAGAGGAAGUUAGUUUCCGAUUUUUGAAAGUUUAUAAAUAGAAAGUUUGGGGUUUUAUUUUUGGAAACCCUAAUUUCAGAAAGUCUCUUCUCUCUCCUCUCUCUCUCCCGAGCUUCCCGACGCCGGAAGUUCUCCAGCGAAGAACUCGGCCGUCUAGCCACCAUUCGAGGCGCCACCGGUCCUGUUCGGCUCGCACAGUUCUCCUCUCCACUCCUUGGGCAGCGUCGCUCGCCGUCUUGCCGCCUAGACGCCGCCACGAAGCGGCGGAGCUGCUGCGGUAUCACUGGAAAUCCGGCAAUUUUGACGGCUAUUUCGGUGAGACUUAGGUUUGAAGUUUGAUUUCGGGUUGGUGGUUCGAGGCGUUUUCCGGCCGAUUCUAGCUGAAUUGGUUGAACCUCUAGGUAUUAAAGUUGUUCACCUUGCUUCAAGCUUCAAGUUUGCUGUUUUGAGUUUGCUCAAAUUCGGAGGUUUCGGGGUGGCGCAUGUGGCAGCACAUCCGGCAGGGUUCCUAGCUCUAGGUUUCGGUGGUUAGCUAGCUCUUGUUGUUGUGAGCUUGUUGAGAUGUGAAAAUUCUAGGUUUGGAGUAAGGAUUGCAUGCUAGGACUUUAAGUUUAAUCUUAGGCUUGUGAGAGGUUUGAGUUUAGGUUUUGAGGAUUUGAGACAAUUUUAUUGAGUCGUUAAGUACGACGACCUUAGAAAGUUGUCCUCCCUUGGGUUAAGGUUUGUUAAGGUUGCAAUGUUCUUUUUGUUCAAGUGGUUACUAAGGUUAUUAAUUGUGUUAAAUAGGUAGCUUGUGGAGUGAUAUUUGAGCUUGGUUUUUGAGUUUAUUAUGAAGACGCAGCAGGAUUUUAGGUGAGUAAAAUCUCACCAAGGUUCACUUUGGGACCAAUUAUUUAUAAUAAUUAUGAUAAUGAUUAUGAUGAUAAAAUGAUGAUGAUGAUGAUUGUGAUGAUGAGAAUGAUUAUGAUGAUAAAAUGAUGAUGAUGAUUGUGAUGAUAAUAAUUUUUUUUAAAAUUAUGUUUUGUUUGUUUUAAAAUAUAUGAGCUUGAUUGUCAACGACUCAUAGGUAAAAGAAAACAAGUUUUCCUAUUUAAAUGAUUCUUUUUAAGGUUCUUGUGACCAUAAUAUUUUUGGUUUUAUUGAUGUAAUUAUUGAUGCCUUAGUGGUGAUUGUGUGCAUUCGUUGUGGAAUGAUGCCUUAGUGGUGAUUGUGUGUAUUCGUUGUGGUGAUUGUGUGUAUUCAUUGUGGAAUGGUGUCUUAGUGGUGAUUGUGUGCAUUAGUUGUGGAUGUGUGUCUUAGUGGUAAUUGUGAGCAUUCGUUGUGGAAUGAUGUCUUAGUGGUGAUUGUGUGCAUUAGUUGUGGAUAUGUGCCUUAUUGGUGAUUGUGUGCAUUAGAUUAGGAGCCUUUAUGGUGGACCGGGAACCAAGCCUUGGCCGGGUGAUUGGUUAUGGUCAGUACAGAGCUCUAGUCUGUCUGUCGGUAUUUCAUGGGGGAUGACUAAGUGUUGACGAACUCAUAAGUAAGAGUAGAGAAAUGAUUGUGUGAUGUUCUUAUGUGUUUGUCAUUUAAAUUCAUUGCUUUGAGUAUCUCUUGAACUAUGCUUAUCCGCAAGAGAUUCCUUAAUCUUAAUUGUAUGAUUUUUAGUGGAAUUCCUGAACUAUGUUUUUUGCAGGAUUUCAUUUAUAAUUUGAUUGAUUGUGAAUUGUUGUGAUUUCUUAUUUACUCUUUUUUGAAUUCUUUUACUUUUAGGUGAUUCCUGAACUAAGUUGCUAAUGCAGGAAUUACCAAUUUAUUCAUAUGUGAUGUUGGGUUGAGUUAUUUAUUGUAGAUUUACUCAUAUGAGCUAUUAAAGAUUACCGGGUUUGUUAUUUACAACCCGAUGCACCAAUCUAUGGUGUAGUGGUUGUUUUUGCAUGUGAGGAUUUUCAAGACGUAGAAGUCUAGAAGCUGCAUGUUAGGAGUUAACUAUUUUCUUAUUGUUUGUCAAUUUGUAGUGAGCUCUUUAGAGCGUGACCUUACUUGACUUCUCAAGUUAUGUAAACGUCAGAAUGUAUUAUGUGAUUUUUUUAUUUUUGUUAUCAUGCCUUGAAUUUGGAUUUUUAUUUAUCCGAAAUUCGGGACGUGACACUAUUUGUACCAAAUUAAACAUUUUUUUUUCUUCUAAUUGAC
rnacentral:lncRNA from 1 species